GAGCGUUGAAAUAAGGGAGUGUGCCGGUACGCAUUGCCUUAUGGAGCUUUCAGGAGGGGUUGUGCAAUGAAACCUCAAACCGGCGUAGGCUCAGGCCGAAAGAAAAUGCUCCGA
ncrna:unclassified sequences drum RNA